rnacentral:rRNA from 1 species
AUGCCUCCUAGCAGGAAGAAGCGCAAGAGUGCGCCGCCGGUGACCGCCACCGACCACAUCAGCGCCCUCCCCGACCAUAUGCUCCACCAUUUGCUCUCCUUCCUCCCAGUGCAGGCUGCCGUGUGCACGUGCGUGCUCGGCCGGCGCUGGCGCCACCUCUGGAGGUCCACCACAGGCCUGCGCAUCGUCCGCCUUGACGACGAUGAUGUCUUUGAAGUCAAAGACCUCCGGAAGUUCAUGGACCAUCUGAUAGCCCUGCGUGAGCGCACCCAGCUGGACACUGUUGAGAUCAAAUUCGAUCAAUUCGACAGUGAUGAUGUGCCCUAUGUGAACCUAUGGACCCGUUUUGCCGUGAUGUGGAAAGUUCAGGCGCUCACCCUUCAUAUCCUCGAGGAUGGUUACCUCCACCUAGACAACCUGCACCUUGUCUCUCAGCAUCUGGUAACAUUGGACCUUCAUUCUGUAGCCCUACAAAAGGCCUUUCUUGAUUUUGCUAGCUGUCCAGCAUUGAAGGAACUGAAAAUGAAUGAUUGCGAAAUCAAUGCUGAUAGGAUAUCAUCCCGUUCCCUAAAGCAUUUGAGCAUCACUUUUUGCCGCUCUGACUCAGAUUGCCGGGUCCGUAUUUCUGCUCCGGGCCUUGUCUCUCUAAAACUAGAAGGCUUUCAUGGUAUGACUCCUUUGCUUGAAGACAUGGCAUUGCUAGAAGCCGCAUGUGUUAAUCUUGGCAAUAGAUGCAAAGAUGUCUGUUUGAAUUAUGACUCUGGUGUUUUCUGUGGAGCUAAUGAUAAUACAUGUAAGAAUUGUGUUCCUAUUAGUGACGACGGCAGCAGCAAUUGUGUGCUUCUGGGUGGUAUCUCAAGUGCUAAACACCUCAAGUUGAUGUCUGAAAUAGGAAAGUUCAUUUUCGCAAGAGAUCUGAAACACUGCCCUGCAUUUAGUAAGUUAAAGACAUUAGUACUCAGUGAGUAUUGGUGUGAGGCUCCUUACUUGGAUCCACUAGCAUGCAUUCUGAAAAACUCGCCAGUUCUAGAGAAGCUCACUCUUCAACUAUUUUCUGAGGGACCAAAUCAUGAAGUGGAAAUGGAAGGAAGCUACUGUUGCAUGGAGAGACCGUCUGCAAUAUCAGAGCACCUUAACAUAGUUGAAGUCAAAUGUAAUGUGGUGGACAAGAGGAUUCUCAAAAUUUUGAGGUUCCUGUGUGCAUUUAACAUACGAUUCAAUUUCUAG